rnacentral:rRNA from 1 species
UACGGAGGGUGCGAGCGUUGUCCGGAAUCACUGGGCGUAAAGGGCGCGUAGGCGGCCUGAUAAGUAGGGGGGUGAAAUCCUGCGGCUUAACCGCAGGGCUGCCUUCUAAACUGUCAGGCUCGAGCACAGUAGAGGCAGGUGGAAUUCCUGGUGUAGCGGUGAAAUGCGCAGAUAUCAGGAGGAACACCAAUUGCGAAGGCAGCUCGCUGGGACGUGACUGACGCUGAGACGCGAAAGCGUGGGGAGCAAACAGG